GAGGGGGGAGACGAGAGAGAGAAUCGAUGGAUCGAUCGAUCGUCGGCGUGGGGACCGGCCGCGGCGGGCUCUGGGAAAUUCCUCUGCGCGGGAGGGGAUGGAUCGCCACCCGGCCUCUGGGCUUUGGGCAGGCGGGAACUCUGGGGGCGUCUGGCUCGCUGCCCCUCCUGCGGCUGCGCCUGCGGCCGCCGCCUGCGCGGCAGGACUGCAGCAGGAGGCUGCUGCCGCGGCGCGCGUUAAAAGCUGGCCCCGGGCGGCUGCGCGCCCCGCGCAGGCGACCUGAGCCGAGAUGCGAUGCGCCGCGCCGCGCCGCGCUCCAUGGUCGGAACGGGAACGGGAACGCGACGGCCGACGGGGUCGCUGCCGGUGCCCGGGUGCGGUAAUGGCGCGGCAGGUCCUCCGCCCUUUUCUCCACGGAUCGGCAGGACCAGGGGCUAGGGCUAGCUGCUACUACCCACGUACCCCCCGGCUAGGGUGGUAGGCGGAGGACUUGUGGGGUGGGGAGGUGCUCGCUCGAUCCAUGGCGUCGCGUAGCUGCGGCGCUCUUGUAACACCCCUCAAUUAGCUCCUUAAUCUUAAUUAGGAGUGUUAAACGAAAAUUUGAAGUUUCAAAUUGCUCACAAAUGGGUCAAAUAUGUCAAGCCCACGUGUUCCCUUCUCCCUCUCUCCCGUGCGUGGUCACCGUGGCCAAAUUGGCCAUGGCGCCGCUCGCGAGGUGCGUCCCCGCCCAUACCGUCCUUAUCUCGCUCGCAGGCAAGCUCGCUCCUCUCCCGAAGCCUCUCCAUGCUGCCUGAGCAGCCCACGCCUCUCUCCUUCUCGCGCGAGCGCCGAGCCAUGGUCGCCGCCUCCGCCUAGCUCGCCGUGGAGCUCCCUCCUCCGGCCUCCCUCGGCCCGAACCGACCCGCCCACAAGCUUCCUCACGCCCCACCGGUGCUCCUCGGCCCGAGCCUGCCCCGAAUUGGUCGCCGGAACCUCGCCGUGGGCGCUCACCGCCGCCGCCGGGCGCCUGCUUCCGUCGCCGGCCCUCUUCCGGCUACCCCGGCAUCAACCGAGACCACCCAGAGGUACGAGGUUAGAUCAAUUGAAGGACGAUUGGAACAUAAAGAUGGGGAAAACUCCAAAAGAUGGUGUGUUAGUUUCUAUCCAGAAGGUGGUGGAUUAUCUAUCAUGAAGCUCCAACCUACUAACUUAUAGUGAUACUUUACUCCCAAGCAAGCCCCGGUGCACAUCCUAUUAUUUGAAAUUAUGACACCUAUAUAUGUAUUUAUUACUUGUGCAUUACGUUUCAGGAGUUGAUUGGAACCCUAGUUGCAUG